GGUGUUGCAAUAGUACGAAGAUAAGGUGUGGGUCCUAACUUGUUAACUUGAAUGCUUUAAUAAUAUUUUUAAUGUCAUAAAUGUUGAUUAAGCUUGUUGUUUGGGCUUAGUUAAAUUUUUAAGUAAAUGAUUUUAAAGGGGUUGAAUCAUGUACGUUAUGAGUCCUAACUAAAUGGAAUGUUCGUAAAGUUGUUUGAUUGACUGAAUGGUUGUUUGAUUGGUACUGAUAUGAUUGGUUUGUUAACAUUGUAUGUUGGUUGUGUGUAUAGA
rnacentral:lncRNA from 1 species